rnacentral:rRNA from 1 species
ACUCAAAUGAAUUGACGGGGGCCCGCACAAGCGGUGGAGCAUGUGGUUUAAUUCGACGCAACGCGAAGAACCUUACCGGGGCUUGAACUGCAGGGUCUAGCCCUAGAAAUAGGGUUUGCCCUUCGGGGCGCUCUGUAGAGGUGCUGCAUGGCUGUCGUCAGCUCGUGUCGUGAGAUGUUGGGUUAAGUCCCGCAACGAGCGCAACCCUUGUCGUUAGUUGCCAUCAGGUCAAGCUGGGCACUCUAACGAGACUGCCGGUGGUAAACCGGAGGAAGGUGGGGAUGACGUCAAGUCCUCAUGGCCCUUACGUCCCGGGCUACACACGUGCUACAAUGGCCGGCACAAAGAGACGCAAUGCCGCAAGGUGGAGCCAAUCUCAAAAAACCGGUCUCAGUUCGGAUCGGAGUCUGCAACUCGACUCCGUGAAGUCGGAAUCGCUAGUAAUCGCGGAUCAGCACGCCGCGGUGAAUACGUUCCCGGGCCUUGUACACACCGCCCGU